rnacentral:rRNA from 1 species
AUUCAUGACUACACCGGCUUGUCAAGGAUGAUCUUGUCAAAUUUUUGAAGCUAAGCAAGACUGGGCCUGGUUAGUACUUGGAUGGGAGACUGAUGGGAACACCAGGUGCCACAGUG